AGUAUAAUACAGUACAAAUUUUUCAAACUAUACUGUGGCUGACAUUGAAGCUCUAUGGCACAGAGGAAUAAGCUAUAAUAGGCUUUGGGAACAACAAAUAAUAACACUAGCCUUAUCCUCUAAAAAUUGACGGUUUAGCCCCACUUAUGUAAAGAGUCUUAGAAUAGCUAAAAGCUAAAUUGUAGACCUCUAAUUUUAGUUUGGACAGUUUUAUGUCGGAAUAAUGUUCCACAUCUGAACACACACAAAUGUAGAAACAAGCUGAAGGCAUCAUUUAUUUCUGACACCAACAGGGGACAGAUUGCAAAGGCCAUUGUAGUGAUGCCCAUACUGAAACUUACUUAAAGUCUCUUGACCAAAAUGUUCAAAUGAUGGAGGAAAGUAGCCAAGACGGCUGGUUGGGAUUAAGAUUUUUGAGUUGACAGAAAUGAUAGAACACUAUUAGUUAGUGUUUAUUACAUGUAUUGUUAUUGUUAGGAGUAUGUGUACAGAUAAUUUAAAGCAAUGGUUUGGCACAAAUGUGAUUGUUAAGUAUUUAGUAAGUCUAUGAAAUGUGUAAUGAAAUGUGAAUUUGAAUUUAAGGAGAAAUUUAAGGCCAAUUUGUUUCUUGGCCAUUUUUUUUAAAUAUGUUACAUUCCGACUUUCCAAGGACUUAAAGAGAAGCACAGGAAAACUACCACUGUUUUCUCCAUUUUACAUUUGUCUGGGAAAGUGAGCCAUUUCUACUUCUAUUAUACUUUCUGUUUUCUUCUAUUUUCAUUAUAAUGUCAAUAUCUAUGUUCCCUUGUGUUGAAAGUUAUGAUGAGAAAAUAUUGUAGGCUUGCACUUGAAAUGAAGUUUAAUGUUGUUAUGAUCUUGUUGUUGUGCUUUAGGGAAAAAAAGAGAAGGAAAAUUCUCCCAUGUGAGUGUUCUUUAUGCCAGCCCUUUACACUGGUGACAUUCUUUUUUUAAAUUUUUUUUUAACAAAGAGUGAAAAUUGUGUGAGUGAGUGAUUUCAAAUAUUGUCCAAUAGGAACUUUUCAUCUGCAGUCACUUUUUAACAGCCUCUGCUGUUAAAUAUGUCAAAUGUGUUGGCUGAUUUCCAAAGUGUUUAAUACGCAGCAAUAACAUGUACAUUUACAUGAGUGGAAGAAUUAGAAAUCCUUGUGCUUUAUAGUCAGUGGUGCUCUAAAAACAAAAA